GCUAAAAAUCUAGCCCCACACACCCAAAAACACUAAUCUACUUACUAAAAUAAAACAAACCAUUCUUAUAAUAAAGUAUAGGGGAUAAAAAAAUUAACUGGAGCUAUAAAACUAGUACCGCAAGGGAAAGCUGAAAUAUAAAUGAAAUAAACGCUUAAGCAUAAAAAAGUAGAGACCCUUCCUUGUACCUUUUGCAUCAUGGUUUAACUAGUCCUUAUCAAGCAUAAAGAAUUUAAGUUUGACUUCCCGAAACUAAGUGAGCUACUCCAAGGCAGCUUUUUUGAGCCAACCCGUCUCUGUUGCAAAAGAGUGGGAAGACCUUUGAGUAGGGGUGAUAGACCAAACGAACUUAGUGAUAGCUGGUUACUUGAAAAAAGAAUUUUAGUUCUGCCUAAAGCCAAACAAAGUUUUAUGAACUAAUACUUAUGCUUUAGAGUUAUUCAAAUAAGGUACAGCCUAUCUGAAUAAGGAGACAACCUAAACUAUUGGGUAAAUAUUUACAGUGUACCAAAGUGGGCCUAAAAGCAGCCACCUUAAACAAUAGCGUCAAAGCUUCUCUACACAAGUAUAUUCAAUUUCAUACCCCAACCCAAACCCUUAAUUACCAUCAAGUAAUUCUAUAUACAUAUAGAACAUAAAAUGUUAAAACUAGUAACAAGAAGCAAGCCCUUCUCUUAAAUGUAAGUGUAAGCCAGAAAGGAUAAACCACUGUCAAUUAACACCAAUGAUUUUUAAUUAACAACAACACAAGAAAACCCUAAUAAAACAAGUGUUAAACUAACACAAGAACAUUUCAAGAAAGAUUAAAAGAAAAAGAAGGAACUCGGCAAACACCAACCCCGCCUGUUUACCAAAAACAUCGCCUCUUGACAAAUAUAAGAGGUCCAGCCUGCCCAGUGACCUAAUUCAACGGCCGCGGUAUCCUAACCGUGCAAAGG
rnacentral:rRNA from 1 species